rnacentral:miRNA from 1 species
UGGGAGAGGGCUGUUUACUCC